rnacentral:rRNA from 1 species
UGGGGAAUAUUGGACAAUGGGCGAAAGCCUGAUCCAGCCAUGCCGCGUGUGUGAAGAAGGUCUUCGGAUUGUAAAGCACUUUAAGUUGGGAGGAAGGGCAUUAACCUAAUACGUUAGUGUUUUGACGUUACCGACAGAAUAAGCACCGGCUAACUCUGUGCCAGCAGCCGCGGUAAUACAGAGGGUGCAAGCGUUAAUCGGAAUUACUGGGCGUAAAGCGCGCGUAGGUGGUUUGUUAAGUUGGAUGUGAAAUCCCCGGGCUCAACCUGGGAACUGCAUUCAAAACUGACUUACUAGAGUAUGGUAAAUGGUGGUUGAAUUUCCUAUAUAACGAUUAAAUUCGUAUAUAUAUAAAGGAACACCAGUUGCCAAGGCGACCACCUGGACUAAUACUGACACUGAGGUGCGAAAGCGUUUUUAUCAAACA